rnacentral:piRNA from 1 species
UCCUAAAUAUGCAAGUUUUGC